rnacentral:ncRNA from 1 species
UAAAAUAAACGGAAAAGUUGAGUAUAAAUUGGAAUGUCUUAGAGAGUCUCAAUAUGGUGAAAAGAGAUGGCUGGAAGAUUUAGAAGAUGGGCUUGGAGUUUUUAUUAGUGAAGAUUGAGCUAAUAACGGAUUUGUAGCCGUUACUACUGCAAGGUUAUAUAUUUAUUUGUGUAACUUACUGAGAUUAAUUUAGUGAUAAAUUAAUGAAUUUAGGUGGUAACGCGGAAACAUCCGUCCUUUUA